ACCCCUCUGGAUAUAGUCUGACAGAAUCAAGGAGAAUUAACAGACCCCCAGGGCAGCACUGAGUGAAUACUGCUGUUCAUCCCAUGGGAAGUGAUUAUGUUUUUGGUUUGGCCAAAGUUCCUCUUGGCCCAGGGAUAGGGGCAGCUUCAGAGGCUUCCACUUAACCUUUUGUAGUACAGGAGCUCUUAAUCUACUGGCCAAGAAACGAUGGUGAUGUUCUGCCAACUACAAAACCACAACGAUUGUGAUAUGCACAGUAAAACGAAAGCCCAGCUAUCUGAAACCAGGCUAGAAGAAACCAAAAAUACCCACCCCACAAGGAGCCAUGUCCCUUUCGGGGAGAAAUUGUUGCACUCAGAUCUUGGAGAAGACAGAGCCAUGCAAGGUUAAGUUGCUAAAGUGGCUAAAAACAAACAUGGUCUCCACGCGCUAAUUUUUCUCCAUGGCCCCUCCUCCCCACUCCUUACAGUAAACAGCAGUUAUGGGGACUGCAGUCAAAUUCCCUA